rnacentral:rRNA from 1 species
CAGUAGCCGCGGUAAAACGUAGGGUCCGAGCGUUGUCCGGAAUUAUUGGGCGUAAAGGGCUCGUAGGCGGUUUGUCGCGUCGGGAGUGAAAACUCAGGGCUCAACCCUGAGCGUGCUUUCGAUACGGGCAGACUAGAGGUAUGCAGGGGAGAACGGAAUUCCUGGUGUAGCGGUGGAAUGCGCAGAUAUCAGGAGGAACGCCGGUGGCGAAGGCGGUUCUCUGGGCAUUACCUGACGCUGAGGAGCGAAAGCAUGGGGAGCGAACAGGAUUAGAUACCCCUGUAGUCCCUGUCUCUUAUAC